rnacentral:tRNA from 1 species
CCGACCUUAGCUCAAUUGGUAGAGUGGAGGACUGUAGAUCCCUAGGUCACUGGUUAGAUUACGUUAGGUCGGA